CCUACGGGAGGCAGCAGUGGGGAAUCUUGCGCAAUGGGCGAAAGCCUGACGCAGCGACGCCGCGUGAGGGAAGAAGGCCUUCGGGUUGUAAACCUCUUUUAAGAGGAAAGAAGCCACUCGGGUGAAUAGCCCAGAGGGUGACGGUACCUCUUGAAUAAGCCCCGGCUAACUACGUGCCAGCAGCCGCGGUAAU
rnacentral:rRNA from 1 species